AUUGAACGCUGGCGGCAGGCUUAACACAUGCAAGUCGAACGAGUGGCGGACGGGUGAGUAAUGUAUGGGAAUCUAGCUUAUGGAGGGGGAUAACUACGGGAAACUGUGGCUAAUACCGCGUACCAUAGGAUGAGCACGAAUGGGAUUAGGUAUUUGGGGAGGUAAAGGCUCACCAAGCCGACGAUCUCUAGAUGGUCUGAGAGGCUGACCAGCCACACUGGGACUGAGACACGGACCAGAGUCCUACGGGAGGCAGCAGUGGGGAAUAUUUCGCAAUGGGCGGAACCUGACGCAGUCAUGCCGCGUGAGUGAUGACGGCCUUCGGGUUGUAAAGCUCUGUUAGUCGGGAGACGGUACCGGAAUAGAAAGCCACGGCUAACUACGUGCCAGCAGCCGCGGUAAUAC
rnacentral:rRNA from 1 species